rnacentral:rRNA from 1 species
AGUCGAACGCUUCUUUUUCCACCGGAGCUUGCUCCACCGGAAAAAGAGGAGUGGCGAACGGGUGAGUAACACGUGGGUAACCUGCCCAUCAGAAGGGGAUAACACUUGGAAACAGGUGCUAAUACCGUAUAACAAUCGAAACCGCAUGGUUUUGAUUUGAAAGGCGCUUUCGGGUGUCGCUGAUGGAUGGACCCGCGGUGCAUUAGCUAGUUGGUGAGGUAACGGCUCACCAAGGCGACGAUGCAUAGCCGACCUGAGAGGGUGAUCGGCCACAUUGGGACUGAGACACGGCCCAAACUCCUACGGGAGGCAGCAGUAGGGAAUCUUCGGCAAUGGACGAAAGUCUGACCGAGCAACGCCGCGUGAGUGAAGAAGGUUUUCGGAUCGUAAAACUCUGUUGUUAGAGAAGAACAAGGAUGAGAGUAACUGUUCAUCCCUUGACGGUAUCUAACCAGAAAGCCACGGCUAACUACGUGCCAGCAGCCGCGGUAAUACGUAGGUGGCAAGCGUUGUCCGGAUUUAUUGGGCGUAAAGCGAGCGCAGGCGGUUUCUUAAGUCUGAUGUGAAAGCCCCCGGCUCAACCGGGGAGGGUCAUUGGAAACUGGGAGACUUGAGUGCAGAAGAGGAGAGUGGAAUUCCAUGUGUAGCGGUGAAAUGCGUAGAUAUAUGGAGGAACACCAGUGGCGAAGGCGGCUCUCUGGUCUGUAACUGACGCUGAGGCUCGAAAGCGUGGGGAGCAAACAGGAUUAGAUACCCUGGUAGUCCACGCCGUAAACGAUGAGUGCUAAGUGUUGGAGGGUUUCCGCCCUUCAGUGCUGCAGCUAACGCAUUAAGCACUCCGCCUGGGGAGUACGACCGCAAGGUUGAAACUCAAAGGAAUUGACGGGGGCCCGCACAAGCGGUGGAGCAUGUGGUUUAAUUCGAAGCAACGCGAAGAACCUUACCAGGUCUUGACAUCCUUUGACCACUCUAGAGAUAGAGCUUCCCCUUCGGGGGCAAAGUGACAGGUGGUGCAUGG